rnacentral:rRNA from 1 species
GGAAAUUGACGGGGCCCGCACAAGCGGCGGAGCAUGCGGAUAAUUCGAUGCAACGCGAAGAACCUUACCAAGGCUUGACACACACCGGUAACGCCCAGAGAUGGGUGCCCCUUUGUGGUCGGUGGACAGGUGGUGCAUGGUUGUCGUCAGCUCGUGUCGUGAGAUGUUGGGUUAAGUCCCGCAACGAGCGCAACCCUCGUCCUAUGUUGCCAGCGGGUCAUGCCGGGGACUCAUGGGAGACUGCCGGGGUCAACUCGGAGGAAGGUGGGAUGACGUCAAAUCAUCAUGCCCCUUAUGUCUUGGGCUUCACGCAUGCUACAAUGGCCGGUACAAAGGGCUGCGAUACCGCGAGGUGGAGCGAAUCCCAGAAAGCCGGUCUCAGUUCGGAUUGGGGUCUGCAACUCGACCCCAUGAAGUCGGAGUCGCUAGUAAUCGCAGAUCAGCAACGCUGCGGUGAAUACGUUCCCGGGCCUU